rnacentral:rRNA from 1 species
GACGAGCGCUGGCGGCGUGCUUAACACAUGCAAGUCGAACGGAAAGGCCCUGCUUUUGUGGGGUGCUCGAGUGGCGAACGGGUGAGUAACACGUGAGUAACCUGCCCUUGACUUUGGGAUAACUUCAGGAAACUGGGGCUAAUAUCGGAUAGGAGCUCCUGCUGCAUGGUGGGGGUUGGAACGUUUCGGCGGUUGGGGAUGGACUCGCGGCUUAUCAGCUUGUUGGUGGGGUAGUGGCUUACCAAGGCUUUGACGGGUAGCCGGCCUGAGAGGGUGACCGGCCACAUUGGGACUGAGAUACGGCCCAGACUCCUACGGGAGACAGCAGUGGGGAAUAUUGCACAAUGGGCGGAAGCCUGAUGCAGCAACGCCGCGUGCGGGAUGACGGCCUUCGGGUUGUAAACCGCUUUCGCCUGUGACGAAGCGUGAGUGACGGUAAUGGGUAAAGAAGCACCGGCUAACUACGUG